GGCACAGAGGAGAGAACAUUCAGGAAUCCUUCGGGAAGGCGGACAGAGAUGUGCGGGGCCUGACAGUGACAUCGCUGGAGGCCGGAAAGAGGGGAGAGUGUGUGGGGCGGAAAAAACACGUAAACAAAUAACGGCCGAAAACUCCCCUAAUUUGGUGAAAGACAUAACUUUGCAGAUUCAAGAAGUUCAGUGGACGCCAAACAGGAUUAACUCAAACAACACCAGGUCCAGACACAUCAUCAGACUGCCGAAAACCAAAGGAAAGAUGCCAGGGAGACGCUGCUCACAAAAGAAGAGUGGAAAAUAGGUUCCAUUCAAGCAGAGCCCGCUGGGUUCUCAUCACCUGGGCAGACAGAGGCCAAAGGGCCAGCAGACACCCUCCCCCCAUUGCCCAGCGGAGGACGAGACACAGACACUUCCUGCAGGGAAGACAGGGACUGUUGGGCGUGGAAGAGCUGUACCUGCCGGGAUGCACAGCCGCAAGCCGGAAUCCUUCCUCAGCGAUGCCGGCUCACCCCCUCCCUCCUGGGAAAGCGAGUCAGCCACGC